UUUCACAUAGACCUGCUCUGAGGCGAUAUGUGAUUAAAAUGACGUAUGACUCUUCUAGCAUAACAUAAGAAGCUUUUAGUCCUAAGACAUCUUCUCAAAAUGAUUGGGGGUGGGGGUCAAUAAAAUGGAGUACUCUUAGGGAGACGCAUUUCUAGAUCCCAACAACUGACUUUGAACCUGAGAAAAUAACAGUAUUUGCAACACAUGGCCUAUGAGCCUAUGGAUUUCCCUGACACCACAGGAAAACACCUAGUCUGGGAGGGAAUGUCUCAACCUGCUACCUACUACCUCAGUAAGCUCCUGUUAUUCCAUGAGUGUUAAAUGUGUUCGGUAGCUGUGGUUGGCAGUUCAAAUUUUCCUAACUAUUAAGGGAAUUUCUUUGGGUUUUAUUUAGUCCACGGAAAUGGCUGCCAUGCAAAUUUUGAAAAACCAUUUUUUACUAUAGGUGAUGGAGGAAAACAGUUUAAUAAAAUACAAAAGUUAAAUCUGGCUUUCCGGAACUAAGUGACUAAUUAGAGGUAGCUAAUAAAUUAUGUUGGUCUUCCCGUUUUUAAAAUGUAGGCCUAAAUUUAGACACAGAAUUGUCUCAAUGGACCAUUUAUAUGUAACUUCCAAUGCUAUGUGUUACUGCAUAGUUGAAAUAUUUUUAUUCCUGUCUAUAAAUGUAUAGCAUGGCCACAUGCAUUUACUAGCUGCUGUUUCUUUUGAUUGAUUGAUUGAUUGAUUGAUUGAUUGAUUGAUUGAUGAUUCAAAAGUAAAAAGGCUGGAAUGGUGCUUCCCUGCAAACAGCACUUUCUGUGAAAGCCGGAGGGCCAGACUUUAGAUCAUCAAUAGCCAUAUGAAAACCAAAGAGAUAAACCCAGCAUUGAGGAGGACAGCUGUCACCAACCUCUGGCCUCCUUACGAGUUGGCACAUGUGCACACCUAUCCACACAGCACCCGCAAACAUUACCAAGGUGGGAACACCAUACAGAGUAUUUAAGCCAUCUAUAGUUCACAACUGAUAGCAUAGGUUCAGAGCAGAUGGACAGAUGUUUCAGAUCACGUACUUCCAGAGGACCCCAGUUCAGUUCUCAAUACCCACUAGGAGCACCUCACAACUGCCUGUAACCCCUGUUCUACAGGGGUCCAUCCCCUGUGGCCUCCAGUACAAACACACACACAAUAAUAAUAAGAGUCUAGAGAAAUAGCCCAGCAGUUAAGAGCUUUUGUUGCUGUUGCACAGGACCUGGGUCCAGAUCCCAGCAUCUACAUGGUGGCUCACAAACUAAUCCUAACUCUAGAUCCAGGGGUACAGUGCCCUCCUCUGCUUUCCAUGGGUACUGCAUACAUGGGUGGUGCACUUGCAUGCAGGCAAAACACUCCUUUUCUUAAAAUUUAAACAAAAAUUGUGCAGAUUUGUAGAAAGUAAAUGUUCCUCUCACUCACCCAUUACUGUACCCCAAGGGUCUAAAUGAAGUAUAUAUUCCCAGAACUUUUAAGAAAGAUGAAUGUUGGGGCUGGGGAUUUAGCUCAGUGGUAGAGCGCUUACCUAGGAAGCGCAAGGCCCUGGGUUCGGUCCCCAGCUCCAAAAAAAAAAAGAACCAAAAAAAAAAAAAAAAAAAAAAAAAGAAAGAUGAAUGUUUACAAAACGUGUAGAAGCCACCUGAGAUAGCCAAGACCCUUCAGAUGAGACCAUACCAGAAGCACUCAGGACGUAGCAGCCACACCACCUCUUUGUGAGGCGUGAGGUAUUGGUAUCAGUUUACCAAGUCCCUACAAAUGUUUGCCCAGUAGUCAGAACGGCCUAACAGUUAUACACCAUAGUUGGCCACAGCUACGGGAGACAGUGUGACAAGCUCGACUUACCUUAGGUUUUUCAAUGAAAAUUCACAUGUGACAGUACUGUUGACCUGAGUGUUACAAACUAGAGGUCCUUCCAAGAGAGCUCGGAUCGAUACCAACAUACAAUACACGGCACCAAUGACUGUGAUCACACUCAAGAGUGAUGAAAGAAACAUCUGGAAAACAAAGCAGGGCGUUCACACACAUCGCUGUAGGUCCUCCGUCUGUUUCAGGUUUUCCAGCAGCAGCCUGCAACACUUAGUCACUGCUCUCAGUCUGUGCUCCUACAUCUUUUUCCCCUUAUUUGUUGGUGUACAUAUGAGCAUGGUAUUGGUACAUGUCUGUGUGAGUGUGUUCUGCACAUUCAUGUGUGUGUGUUCGUGUGCAUGAGGGGUGUAAACCGGAGGCUGAAAUCAGGUGUCUCCCCUUAUCGCUUUCCAUUCUCCAACUUGUUUUUGAGGCAGUGUCUGUCACUGGACCUGGAGCUGAAUGAACCAUUUCGCUACGCUAAGCCAGCUGGCCCCUGAGCUCUGGCAUCUACCUUUAUGCCCCUCUAACACUGGGGUUUUAGGCAGAUGCCACCUCACCUAACUUUUAUGUGAGCCUUAGGGAUCCAAACUCAGAUCCUCACACUUGUAUGUCAGACACUUUACUGACUUAGCCAUCUCCCCAGCCCUGUGUGGUCCUGAGACAUGAGAGUGCAGUUUAAUUACAGUUGCCAAAAGAUAUUUACACUUGUUGAUGUCUCUGAAGAAUCUCAACCUCUGUAUUCCUGGGUUUAUGAAUUCCUUCUGGCCACUGAAAUCUGGUUCCUCCUUUUCUAUGGUAUAUAGUUCUAACUUACAUUGAACCUCCACUAGACCUUAACUACCUAAACUUUUAUUUCUGGACUCUUGGCUUCCAUACAUAUUUGACUGAUGUUGUAAGUAGUCAGUGGCCAACAUCCUGAAGUAAUCAGUCAGCAGCAGAGUUGAGAGCAUAACUGCUCAGCUGGGCACACUGGAGGGGACGUGUUGCCAUUGGGACCCAUCCAAGGCAGAGUGGGAUGCAUCAGCCAUCUUGGUCUCCACCCAUCCGACGCACGUAUCACUUUAUUCUCCCAGUCCAGUGUGACAACUAAAAGCUAUCUCAACAAUGCCACAUGUCCAUUUGGAGUAGGGGUGGAGGCUCUAAAUAUGCCCAUAGUUAUAUAACCAUUGUAGUGGCUAUUCCUGGUUAUCAGCUUGACUAUAUCUGGAAUGAACUACAGUCCAGAAUUGGAAGGCUCACCUUUGAUCCUGAUCUUGAGGCUGAGAGAUACAAGUUUCUAACCCGGAUCUUGGUAUGGAGAUCUUGAGGCAAAGUGGCUAUGACUCUAAGGCAAGGAGAUCUCUGAGUUCAAGGUCACCUGGGACAAAGAAAGUCCUGGACCCAGGCGUGUUGGUACACACCUUUAAUCUGGGAUACACCUUCUGCUGGAAACCUAUAUAAGGACAUUGGAAGAAGGAAGAGUCUCUUUUUUGCCUGUCUACCUUGUGGGACUGAGCCACCCUAGAUCCUUGGACUUCCAUUCACAGCUGCUGCUGACCAUUGUUGGAGAGUUGGACUACAGACUGGACAUCGCUGUUGCCGGGAUGGCCUGGAACGAAAGUUUCGGGAAAGAUGAGUACUAUCUCUUCUCAUCAGAGCGAAACCCAGUCAUCACCGCCUUCCAUUUAUGACCCCUUGGGAAAUUCCGGGCCCAGGAGAACUAAAGAGGAACUCUGAUCUGGCAACAUCGUUGUGCCGAGAACCUUCACAUCAGCUUCAGCCCUAAAGACUGUCGUAGCAGUUAGGAAGCUUUCUGUCGGUGUUCCUGUUUACCAUAUCGGCUGCAGCCUCCAGGAUUUCAAGUAGAGUGGGAUGGCUUACUACUGCAUGAGUUUUAGAAGGAAUCUUAAAAGAAUUGGUUCUGCCACCCAAAUUUACCUUUUAUUCUCUGUCUCCCACUCCCUCCACCUUUCUCUCCCCUGUUAGCUCUCCCCUCCCUCUCCUCAAGUUAUAUCUAAUUUCUAUAUCUCCUCAGCCAUAUCUAAUUUCCUGUAAAUUAAACAAGUCAAUCUGGGAAGAGGGAAAUGGACAGUUUUGUUUGCUUGCCUUUGACAGGGACCAAUUCACCACCACUCCCUCUGGUUAAUCACUCUUAAUUCUACACCCUAGACUACUAUCGUCUUACCAGGGUUCUCAAGCCUUUUUUUUUUUUUUUUUUGAGAAUGACUGUUGAUCCCCCGUCGUGCCCUUCUCUGCUCCUGUAUCCCUAACGAGUACUGAUUAUACUUUACACUGAUGUUUCGCCAAGACCAGCCUUGCCUCUGCUAGACUCUCUACAGAGAGAGAUGGCCUCAAACUCCCAGAGAUCUGCCUGCCUCUGCCUCCUGAGUGCUGGGAUGAAAGGCAGGCAGAAGUUUGGUAUAUAUUGUAUUUCGUCCUGCUGAGGAGAGCCGUAAAUGAUAUCACAUUAUUAAGAGUUUUCUAUUUUUAAAAAGAACUCUAUCAGCUAUAGCUAGAAACUCUUAACUAAGAGUUUUGUAUCACUGAACGACAGGAUAUCAGUGGCUUUCCUUCCACUUACAAACUUGUAGCUGUGGUGGGUGCCGGUGCAUCCCAGGUACCCUGGAAUGGUUCUCCCACUGUUCUGCUCUGCUAACGAGACCAGGCUCUGUAACUACACACCAGGUGUUGGAACUUGACAUGCUUUGGUCUGCGCCACCCUUGUAACAAUCCUCAGACAGAGCACUGGUGCGUGGCCUGUUCCCCUCCCCCAUGUUACCACUGCCAAAACAGGUGGUGUAAGUUUGAGGAGCUUACAAGAAAGUACGAGAGUUCAGAGCCAAGCUAGGCCCCACAUUGACCUGAAAUUCAUAAAGCCACUCACUCUUUGCUCCUGGAACCCCAGCACCCUUGCUUAUCUCAAGCUCCCUCCAAUUGCCACACACACACACACACACACACACACACACACACACACACACACACACACACACACCCUCCUACCCUCCUUGUCUUCCAUAUCUAACUGGUUUUGCUAGAACAGAUUUAUGCCUCUCACAAAGCAGCUUUCCCCAGCACACGCCACCCGGUCUAAUGGACUGCUGACUUCAUGUCACUUCGUGUUGUUGCUUUGUUUAUUCACUGAACACUGAUACCUUUCCAACUCAGAAGCCACACAUACAUAUGGAUGUCCCAACCACCCCUGGGCCCAGCUGAAAGCCCAGAGGAAAGGGAAAAGAAAUCUUUGCCAUCAUUUAUACACUAAGCUCUUUUUUGGUUGUUCCCAGAAGACACUGCUUUCAGAUCUUACAUAACAAAUCAAGUAGAACAGGAAUCAGUGAGUGUGUCCUUUCCCACCUCUGUCACGUCAGUUUUAUAAAUAAAGUUUUAUUGGAACCCUAA